AAUGGCUUCUUCUCCCUCAACAAGGAGACUCAGGUCACUGAUGAGAUAAGCUGCAAACUUCUUCUUCUGGCAGGCUGUGGAUGAUAAAUAGAGGCCAAGUGAAACCUGCUGACAAAGCUGUACCAGCUGAAACCUUUACAGGACUCGUCGAGAAAACUUUGAGUAUCUAAAGGUUGUGAGGGAUAUGGAUGGCUAUGGUGAGAUCGUGUUUCCUCACUGCUCGUGUGAUUCUCGUAAGGAUGGUCAUGUGAUUGCUGUAUUUAGCAUUCACAGCUUCAAACUACAGGCC